GCGGGGGUCGCAUAGUAUGGCCAAUUGCGAUAGGUUCAGGGCCUAUUCCGUUAGCGGUACGGGGGUUCGAAUCCCUCCCCCCGCACCA
rnacentral:tRNA from 3 species